rnacentral:rRNA from 1 species
AGCGAAACGGGAAGAGCCCAAACCAACAAGCUUGCUUGUUGGGGUUGUAGGACACUCUAUACGGAGUUACAAAGGACGACAUUAGACGAAUCAUCUGGAAAGAUGAAUCAAAGAAGGUAAUAAUCCUGUAGUCGAAAAUGUUGUCUCUCUUGAGUGGAUCCUGAGUACGACGGAGCACGUGAAAUUCCGUCGGAAUCUGGGAGGACCAUCUCCUAAGGCUAAAUACUCUCUAGUGACCGAUAGUGAACCAGUACCGUGAGGGAAAGGUGAAAAGCACCCCGGAAGGGGAGUGAAAUAGAACCUGAAACCGUGUGCUUACAAGUAGUCAGAGCCCGUUAAUGGGUGAUGGCGUGCCUUUUGUAGAAUGAACCGGCGAGUUACGAUUUGAUGCAAGGUUAAGCAGUAAAUGUGGAGCCGUAGCGAAAGCGAGUCUGAAUAGGGCGUUUAGUAUUUGGUCGUAGACCCGAAACCAGGUGAUCUACCCUUGGUCAGGUUGAAGUUCAGGUAACACUGAAUGGAGGACCGAACCGACUUACGUUGAAAAGUGAGCGGAUGAACUGAGGGUAGCGGAGAAAUUCCAAUCGAACCUGGAGAUAGCUGGUU